AUGGAGCUCGCCGGAGCCGCACACCCUCAGCCGCCGGAGUCCGACGUGGCGCCACCCCGUACGCCCCCGCAGGCGCCGGCAGAGGAUUCAUGCAAAGAUACAGGAGACACAAGGAUCACUGAGGAAAAUUCAUGCACACCGCCUGACUUAAAUCUUAGUCAACCAAAUAAUUCUGGCCUUAAUAGUUCGAGUGCGUGUGAGAACCAGACAUCCAACAGUGAUGAGAUGACUGAACCAGAAUCCACACUGGAAGCAGCUAAGACCAAGGGUGAUGGAUCAAACAAAGAGAAGGUCCUAAAGAAGCCAGACAAGAUUCUGCCAUGUCCUCGGUGUAACAGCAUGGACACAAAGUUCUGUUACUACAACAAUUACAACAUUCACCAACCAAGGCAUUUUUGUAGGGGUUGUCAAAGGUAUUGGACGGCAGGUGGAAGCAUGAGAAACCUCCCUGUCGGUGCUGGUAGGCGCAAGAGUAAGAGCUCCGGUACAAACUGUAAUGGUAUAUUGAUUCCAGGAAGCAGUCUAGCCGCUCCUGGAGGUGAUGCUUCUGUCAUUCCAUUGCCUAUAAAGGAAAAUCAACCAGCAGUUUUGUUUGGGUCUGAUGCCACUCUACCUAACUCCAUGGCUUCUUUGUUGAGAGUUGAAGAGCAGAAUAAGAACAGCAACCCUGCCUCAACAGCACAUCCCAGAAAUGGUGAGAACCAGACCUGUCCACCUUCAGCAGCAACUUCUGAUAAUCCACGGAUUGAGUCAGUUAAAGUAGCAGUUGGGGUACAUCAAAAUGGAAUUACCGGGGAUUGCAAUGGCGUCACUCCCAUGCCUCCUAUACCCUGCUUUCCCGGUCCCCCUUUUAUGUACCCAUGGAAUCCAGCAUGGAAUGGUGUUCCUGCCAUGGCAGCACCAGUGUGCCCAGUCCCAGCUGAACCCGCAAAUUGUUCAGAAAAUGGCCAUGGAGGUAAUAUUCAAUGGAACUUUCCAUCAAUGGUACCGAUGCCAGGAUUCUGUGGCCCACCCAUUCCUUUCCCUCUAAUGCCGCCUUCCGUCUGGCCAUUGGUUUCUCCCUGGCCAAAUGGCGCAUGGAGCGCGCCGUGGCUUGGACCUGGUUAUAGCAUGUCAGCAGCACCUCCCACAAGCAGUAGUACAUGUUCAGAUAGUGGUUCUCCAGUCCUUGGAAAACACCCGAGAGAUUCUGAUCCGCAAGGUGGUGAAAAGGCAGAAAAAUCCUUGUGGAUUCCGAAGACGCUUCGGAUUGAUGACCCCGACGAAGCUGCAAAGAGUUCGAUCUGGACCACCCUCGGGAUUGAACCCGGCGAGCGUGGCAUGUUUAGACCGUUCCAGCCAAAAUCUGGUGGCAGGGAGCAAAUGUCUAACGCAGCCCGAGUCAUGCAAGCGAACCCCGCGGCUCAAUCCCGCUUUGCGUCCUUCCAGGAGAUGACGUGA
rnacentral:rRNA from 1 species